ensembl:lncRNA
CGAUGUUCCUAGCAAUGCUGAACUUCUGGACUUCACCCCCUUUCAUAGACUACAUGAGCCAAAGCUUCUGUGGGAACUCGCAAACCCUCAUUAUGAAGAAUGGGGUAAAAUUGUUCAGUGGACAUAUCAUUGUUUUAUGGGAAGGAGUUGGUGCGCACUGUUCCUAGCAAUGCUGAACUCCUGGAAUUCACCCCCUUUCACAGCCUAGACCAGCCUCAGCUUAUGUGGGACCGUUCAAACCCUCACAACAAUUAUGGAGGACGGGGGAAAGUAAGCGGAGACGUCUUUAGGAUUUCCAAAGUCACCCAGGAAGACAACGGCUACUACAACUUUAGACAAAAAAAACAAAACUGUGGUGUUACGGCUAAAACUCACUGUUGAAGAAGAUACCUAUUACUAUGAUUUUGAAGAAUCCGAGGACAUCUUCCUUCAAUUUCCUUGGGCCAGUAGAGACUGGACUGUCACUUUUAAGCCAUAUUACAACGACGAUGAAGAAAUAACAAUCAUAAAAGCAGGAAGUGUAGUCAGAAGCAGCAACCCUUUCCAUCACAAAAUUACAAUGAAAGAUUCUGGCAUAAAUAUCUGUUGCAUAAAAAGUGGAGAUGCUGGCACCUUUAAGUUCAGAGACCCUGCAGGAAACCUGGCUUUGGUUUCUCGUGUGCAAAUUAAUGAAUUUCAUCAUUCAAGGCCAGAUUCCACAAUUGCUGUUUUUAUUAUUGUCGCUAUUAUUGUGGCUGUCCUUGGGGUUCUCUGCUGUUGCUGUUACUGUUGCAAAAAGGGGUGCUGUAAAACAACAGAGCCUCGUUCUCUGAUAGCUCAGAGUGCAACUGAGCCUAAAGUGUAUUAUCAUGGUUUAAAUAAGACCGAAGGUUCAAGAUUUUCUGCUCCACCUUAUCCUGCAGCAUUCCCUCCUCCAGCAGUGAAUGCUGGGAUUUCUCAUGCUGCUGCUGCUGCUUCUUCUGGACCUGUGGAACAUGAACCAACAAAUGAGAAUGCAAAUAUUUCUCAGCCUGAGGUUGCACCUCCAGCUUCAGAGAACUCUGCUCCCUCUUCAUCUUCCGGUUACAACCCUGUGUCUUCAGACUAUCAGCCAAUGUUUGAGCCACACUAUCCAACAUACGAGAUUAGGAACAUAUCUCAGCCUAAGGUCACAGCUGGAGCUUCAGAGCAAUCUGCUCCGUCUUCAUCUUAUGGUUACAACCCUCUGUCUUCAGACUAUCAACCAAUGUUUGAGGUGAAAGGACUAAGCUCUACCUUUGACCUUCCACUCAGUACAGAAAAGUCUUCUGCAGAUGUUUACAAUUCAGAUAAAAUGAACUUUCUGUAACAAGGAAUUAUAGUGCUCUAAUACAUGGCCCAUUAGGGGGAGUAUUGUUAUAGAAUCUGCGCUGUAGAUAUGAGACAGAGGAUACAAGUCGUUUCACUUUCUCCUUGAUAACAGGGAAUCACAUGGAAAGUUAUUGUAAAAAUGAUCAUCAGUGCACUGAUAUUUAUGAAUUAUAUCAGUAUAAAUGUUUUGAUUAAAAUUAAAUUAGAAAAAAUUGACUUAUAAAGUAUGUUCUACUGCCUAUAGAAGAGUUAGAGGUUCAAGAUGUUGGAUAUAUCCAGAACAUGAACACCUUCAACACCCCAAACCUCAAAUGUUGCUUUAACUGCUAAAAGUUUCUAGAGCAAACUAUUUGGGUUACCACUGCUACUUCUACUACUGAUUACUGAGUCACAUUUUGGGGCAGAGGUAGAGCGGUCAACCUCUGAUUGGAGAAUCACAGGUUCAGGUCCUGCUUUGCGUGCCCACAAGUCGAAAUGUUCAAGAGAAAAACACUAAACCUCACGUUGCUCCUGGAGGUCAUUGGAAGACGUCAGUAUUCAGCAUUGGUGUUUACAUUUGUAUGUGCAUGGGUGAAUAGGAUGGUGACUGUAAAGUUUUUUGGACCUUCCAAGAGGGCAGUAAAAGCACCAUAAAAGUAUGCACUUUAUACAUUUUUUAGCAUUUAAUCAAUCUACCAGUUUUUUUAUGUUUUGACAUUUCUAAGAUGUUUCGGUAACACUUUAUAAUAAGAUUCCAUGACAAGCUUUAUUAACACAUUAACAAACAUUAUUAAUGUGCUUAUAGGAUGUUUAUAAGAUAUUUAUAAGCAUAAAUAAGCCAAAUACAGUUUAUAUACAUACUUAGUAAGAUUUAUUAUCAUCUAAAAUGAGACCCAUUGUUUAUGAAGGCUAUAUCAACAAACUGUUAACAAGCUUAACAAAUGUGUUAACAAUCUUUGUCAACGUUACAUUUAGUGAUUUGCAGCACCUCAUCUAAAGUGUUACCGAUGUUUCUGUAUGUUUUUUGUAUAAACUUAUACUGGUUUUAUUUAAAGGGUAUAAAACAAACUUUAAUGUGUGAAAUUAAUCAUUUAAUGUGUUUGUCUAUUUUCUUGUUAAACUGCUUUUAUCUUGAUGAGUUUGUACCAAAUAUAUUUCUACUGGUUAUUUUAUUAAACUAUUGAAAUGCU